rnacentral:rRNA from 1 species
UAUUUUAAGUUUAUAUUUUUUUUUAGGUUAAAGGUGUGUUGUAUUUAUUUUUAUUAAAAGUAGUAUUUAGUUAUUUAUUAUUAAUAUGUUAUAGGAAUUUAUUUGUGUAUUGGAGAAUAUUUAUUAAAAAAUUAAUUUAUUUUUUUUUUGGUAAAAUGUAAAAUGUUUUUAUUUGAAAAUAAAAUUAUAAUAUUUUAAAAUAUUAAAUAAGGUUAAAAUUUAAAUUUUUUGGUACCCUUUUUGGUAUCCAGGGGUUUUAUUUAAAUAAAAAAAUUUUAAAAUAUUUUUAUUUAUUCCCUCCGAAAUUUAAUUUAGGAAGCCUAAAUUUUAAUUUAUUUUUAAAGGUUAAAAGUGGUUUUAAAUUAAUUUAAUUUUUAUAAAAAAGGAGAUAUUCUAGUCAAUUAUUAAGAUAUCUAGUUUUUUUAGAAAUAAAUUUAAUUUAUUUAUUAAAUUUUAAAUAUAUUUAAAUUUAAAUAUUAAUUUAAUUAAAAAUUUUAUGAGCUUAUUGGAUGAUAAAAUAUUGUUAAGUGAUAUAUUAUAUUUUAUAAUUUUAUUUAAUAGAAAAAAUUUAAGGGUUUAGCUUUAAAUUUUUUUUUAUAAAUUGUAUUAUAGUAGGAGUUUUAUUUGUAUUUAUAAAUUGUAGAUUUAGUAAUAGUUAUUGAUUUAAGUAUGUAAUAAUUUAUUUUAUUAAUUUAAUAAAAAUUUAUUUUAAUUGUUUUAAUUAUUUAUAAAAAUAAUAUGAAUUAAUAAUAUAUUUUAUAUAAUAAUGAUAAAAUUAUUAUAAUAGUUUAUUAAAGUGAAAAAAUUUUUUAUAUUAAAAUAUAUUUAUUAGAUUUAUAUUAUUUUAUUAAUAUAAUAAUAAGGAACUAGACAAAUUAAAAGUAUUUACCUGUUUAACAAAAACAUGUCUUUUUGAUUUUAUAAUUUAAAGUCUAAUCUGCCCUAUGAAUUUUAUUUAAAUGGCCGCGGUAUUUUGACCGUGCAAAGGUAGCAUAAUCAAUAGUUUUUUAAUUGAAAGCUUGUAUGAAGGAUUGUAUAAGAUAUUUAUUGUCUCAUUAUUAAUUAUUUUAAAAUUUAAUUUUUAAGUUAAAAAGCUUAAAUUUAAUUAGGGGACGAGAAGACCCUAUAGAUUUUUAUAAUAUAUAUUUAUUGUUUAUUUGAGUUUAUUUAUUUAAAUAAAUAUAUAUUAUUUUGUUGGGGUGACAGUAAAAUUAAUUUAACUUUUAUAUUUAUUAAAUCAUUGAUUUAUGAAUUUAUAUUAAAUUAUAUAUAUAUAUAUAUAUAUAUAUAUAUAUAUAUAUAUAAUUUAAUAUUUUUGAUCCUGAAAUUUAGAUUAUUAAAUUAAAAUACCUUAGGGAUAACAGCGUUAUUUAUUUGGAGAGAUCACAUUAAUAAAUAAGUUUGCGACCUCGAUGUUGAAUUAAGAUAAUGUUUAGGUGUAGAUACUUAAAUAAUAGGUCUGUUCGACCUUUAAAUUCUUACAUGAUUUGAGUUCAGAUCGGCGUGAGCCAGAUCGGAUUCUAUCCUUAAUUAUUAUUAAAUAUUUUUGUACGAAAGGACUUUAUAUUUUAAAUAAUUUAUAUUUUAAAUUGGAAUUAAAUUAAUUUUAUUUGUUGUUG